AUGCAGCCACUUUAUUAUUAUUCACGCAAAACCUUACAAAGUCAUACAACAGUAAAACUAAAGUCACCGUCUAGGCAACAUCUGUCGCUACUCCUAUCCAGUUUGUUGCAUGUAUGUGUGUGUUGGAGAGUCACCUUUCUUAUUUUCGCUAUAAGCUGUCCGGCCGUUGGCCCAGGGAACGCCAAGCUUGGUGGCCUCGGGAUCCGCGACCUUCACCGGACGGGCAUCUCUCUGCGCGUCAGAUGGCUCUGGCUGUCUGCUUCUGACAGCUCACGCCCUUGGUCUCAUCUUCAGCCGCCCUCGGACCCCGAAGCACUUCAAUUCUUCCGGGCCUCGACGACGUGGAUCCUUGGCAACGGUACCUCUUGCCGCUUCUGGACCGACAAGUGGAUCCAGGGCCGCUCCAUCCAGGAGCUUGCCCCAAGCCUGGUGGCCCUUGUGCCGAGCCGAUCGCGCCGCUCUCGCACGGUCGCGACUGCCCUUCACGAUCGCACCUGGAUCAGAGACAUCCAUGGCUCCCUCGGCCCGGAGGCCAUGCUUCAGUAUGUGGAUAUCUGGCGCAGACUCCAGUCUGUCGCUCUGACCACGGAGCCUGACACCAUCCGAUGGAAGUGGACGGAUCAUGGUGCCUACUCUGCUGCCUCCUAUUACGGUGCUCUAUUCACUGGUUCCACGGCGUCCGAGCACUGGCGUAUCGUGUGGAAAACCGGCGCCCCCCUCUCGGUCAAGUUCUUCAUCUACCUUGCAUCCGUCAACCGCUGCUGGACGGCUGAUCGGCUUGCUCGCCGCGGGCUUCCGCAUGAGCCGGCAUGUGUGCUCUGCUCUCAGCAUGCCGAGACCUUGCAUCACAUCCUUGUGUAG
rnacentral:rRNA from 1 species